rnacentral:rRNA from 1 species
AACUCCGGGAAACCGGGGCUAAUACCGGAUGGUUGUUUGAACCGCAUGGUUCAAACAUAAAAGGUGGCUUCGGCUACCACUUACAGAUGGACCCGCGGCGCAUUAGCUAGUUGGUGAGGUAAUGGCUCACCAAGGCAACGAUGCGUAGCCGACCUGAGAGGGUGAUCGGCCACACUGGGACUGAGACACGGCCCAGACUCCUACGGGAGGCAGCAGUAGGGAAUCUUCCGCAAUGGACGAAAGUCUGACGGAGCAACGCCGCGUGAGUGAUGAAGGUUUUCGGAUCGUAAAGCUCUGUUGUUAGGGAAGAACAAGUACCGUUCGAAUAGGGCGGUACCUUGACGGUACCUAACCAGAAAGCCACGGCUAACUACGUGCCAGCAGCCGCGGUAAUACGUAGGUGGCAAGCGUUGUCCGGAAUUAUUGGGCGUAAAGGGCUCGCAGGCGGUUUCUUAAGUCUGAUGUGAAAGCCCCCGGCUCAACCGGGGAGGGUCAUUGGAAACUGGGGAACUUGAGUGCAGAAGAGGAGAGUGGAAUUCCACGUGUAGCGGUGAAAUGCGUAGAGAUGUGGAGGAACACCAGUGGCGAAGGCGACUCUCUGGUCUGUAACUGACGCUGAGGAGCGAAAGCGUGGGGAGCGAACAGGAUUAGAUACCCUGGUAGUCCACGCCGUAAACGAUGAGUGCUAAGUGUUAGGGGGUUUCCGCCCCUUAGUGCUGCAGCUAACGCAUUAAGCACUCCGCCUGGGGAGUACGGUCGCAAGACUGAAACUCAAAGGAAUUGACGGGGGCCCGCACAAGCGGUGGAGCAUGUGGUUUAAUUCGAAGCAACGCGAAGAACCUUACCAGGUCUUGACAUCCUCUGACAAUCCUAGAGAUAGGACGUCCCCUUCGGGGGCAGAGUGACAGGUGGUGAUGGUUGUCGUCAGCUCGUGUCGUGAGAUGUUGGGUUAAGUCCCGCAACGAGCGCAACCCUUGAUCUUAGUUGCCAGCAUUCAGUUGGGCACUCUAAGGUGACUGCCGGUGACAAACCGGAGGAAGGUGGGGAUGACGUCAAAUCAUCAUGCCCCUUAUGACCUGGGCUACACACGUGCUACAAUGGACAGAACAAAGGGCAGCGAAACCGCGAGGUUAAGCCAAUCCCACAAAUCUGUUCUCAGUUCGGAUCGCAGUCUGCAACUCGACUGCGUGAAGCUGGAA